rfam:Triticum urartu cultivar G1812 contig140324, whole genome shotgun sequence.
AAUCUACUCCCUCCGUCCCAAAAUUCUUGUCUUAGAUUUGUCUAAAUCCGGAUGUAUCAAGUCACGUUUUAGUAUUAGAUACAUCCGUAUCUAGAUGAAUUUAAGACAAGAAUGUUGGGAUGGAGGGAGUACUAA